rnacentral:rRNA from 1 species
AUUGAACGCUGGCGGUAUGCUUUACACAUGCAAGUCGAACGGUAGAGGGGCAACCCUCGAGAGUGGCGAACGGGUGAGUAAUACAUCGGAACGUGCCCAGUCGUGGGGGAUAACGUAACGAAAGCUACGCUAAUACCGCAUACGACCUGAGGGUGAAAGCGGGGGACCUGCAAGGGCCUCGCGCGAUUGGAGCGGCCGAUGGCAGAUUAGGUAGUUGGUGAGGUAAAGGCUCACCAAGCCGACGAUCUGUAGCUGGUCUGAGGGGACGACCAGCCACACUGGGACUGAGACACGGCCCAGACUCCUACGGGAGGCAGCAGUGGGGAAUUUUGGACAAUGGGCGCAAGCCUGAUCCAGCCAUACCGCGUGCAGGAAGAAGGCCUUCGGGUUGUAAACUGCUUUUGUCAGGGAAGAAAUCUUCUGGGCUAAUACCCUGGGAGGAUGACGGUACCUGAAGAAUAAGCACCGGCUAACUACGUGCCAGCCGCCGCCGUAAGAC